UGUAUGUAUGUAUAUAUAUAUAUAUUUUUUUUUUCCAUUUCAAUUUAGGAUUUACUUUCUCAUAUGCUACAUAUGGACCCACAGCAGCGGUACACUACAGAGCAAGUAUUGAAACACUCGUGGAUAACCCACAGAGAUCAGUUGCCAGAUGAUCAGCCAAAUAGAAAUAGGACAUCACAUGUUGUUAAGGGAACAGUGGUCGCCACAUAUUCUGCCCUGACUCACAAGACUUUUCAACCAGUCCUAGAGCCUGUUGCUGCUUCAAGCUUAGCUCAGCGACGAAGCAUGAAAAAGCGAACAUCAACUGGCCUUUGAAAGUUUUAGAGUUCCUCAGCCAAACUGGAUGAAGAAAAGAUUGUGUGGCUCUUUGUCUAAUAGUAUAUCAAAGGCAUUGUUUUCUACUACAUUACUUGAAUAUUCUGAUUAAGCUUCCUUUUUUUAAGGGGGAGUGAGAUUUAAAAAAAAACAUAUGUAGGUCCACAAUUUUCAUACCAUGUUGCUUUUCAGUGUUGUCCAAGUAUUUAUUUAAGUAUAUAAUUUGUGUCUACAAAGCCCUACCAACUUCUCUACAUACUAACUUCUAAAGUUUCUUUCAGAUUUCUGGUUAUGUAAAAUAAUGUUUUGGGGAAUCAUUACCAAGAGUCAAGAUGCAAGUAUAAUAGUAUAAUGCCAAACAAUGUCAGUAUUUUUUAACAUUAGAUCCUGAAAGGUUAGACGUCUAUUUUUUUUUUUAAGGAAAGCAAAAAAGAAAUCGUAGAAGCCUGUCAUUAUGUGUAAACUCCAUUCAUUUGACUCUCUGUAGUUACUAAAAUGUAAACAUAGUAGUUUUGGGCCAGAGCAAAAAUCAUUUGUGCUCCUAUGUGAAAUCCUAAUAUGGUUGAUGCCAAAGUUUUUACAGAAGAAUUAAAUCAUAGAUAAUGUGUGCUGACAGACCUGUAUAUUGUCCAUAAAUGGCCUCAUCUAGAAAUAAAGGCUUCUGUAAAUUUUACAUCGAAUGGAAUUGUAGUACAAGUGAAGAAAUUUUAGCCAAAGGUAUUAUAUUGGUAUUAUAAUCUACUAAAUAGGUCAUAGUUAAACCUUUGAAAAUAAAGUAUAUGGUGUUGGCA